UACGGAGGGGGCUAGCGUUGUUCGGAAUUACUGGGCGUAAAGCGCACGUAGGCGGCUUUGUAAAGUUAGAGGUGAAAGCCCGGGGCUCAACUCCGGAAUUGCCUUUAAGACUGCAUCGCUAGAAUUGUGGAGAGGUAAGUGGAAUUCCGAGUGUAGAGGUGAAAUUCGUAGAUAUUCGGAAGAACACCAGUGGCGAAGGCGACUUACUGGACACAUAUUGACGCUGAGGUGCGAAAAGCGUGGGGAGCAAACAGG
rnacentral:rRNA from 1 species